rnacentral:misc_RNA from 1 species
GGCAAACCCCUUGAGAUCAAUCUGGUCACCACCUAUUCUUCGGAGGUUUUACUUUGUAAAUACGAACUAUCCAGUUUGCCGUUGUGAACGCUUCCUCCAAGAACUCAAGCUUCACAUCUUUAUUUCCAAUUUCCACACCCCUUGCACGGUCAUACCCUGGGGGCUUCCCAUAUUCGGUGGUUAGUUCUCCAAACCGAUAGUAAGAAAGCUUGUACAUGAGACAGUUCAACAUCUUUGGUGCUGCUCCCUUGUCAACACGAUACUCGCCAUUA